rnacentral:rRNA from 1 species
UACGUAGGGUGCAAGCGUUAAUCGGAAUUACUGGGCGUAAAGCGUACGCAGGCGGCUUUGCAAGACAGGUGUGAAAUCCCCGGGCCUAGCCUGGGAACUGCAUUUGUGACUGCAUGGCUAAAGUUUGUCAGAGGGGGGUGGAAUUCCACGUGUAGCAGUGAAAUGCGUAGAGAUGUGGAAGAACACCGAUGGCGAAGGCAGCCCCCUGGGAUGUGACUGACGCUCAUGUACGAAAGCGUGGGGAGCAAACAGG